rnacentral:rRNA from 1 species
CUUGGUCAUUUAGAGGAAGUAAAAGUCGUAACAAGGUCUCCGUUGGUGAACCAGCGGAGGGAUCAUUACAGAGUUGCAAAACUCCCUAAACCAUUGUAAACGUUACCUUCAAACCGUUGCUUCGGCGGGCGGCCCGGGUCCGCCCGGUGCCCCCUGGCCCCCUAGCGGGGCGCCCGCCGGAGGAAACCCAACUCUUGAUUAUUAUGGCCUCUCUGAGUCUUCUGUACUGAAUAAGUCAAAACUUUCAACAACGGAUCUCUUGGUUCUGGCAUCGAUGAAGAACGCAGCGAAAUGCGAUAAGUAAUGUGAAUUGCAGAAUUCAGUGAAUCAUCGAAUCUUUGAACGCACAUUGCGCCCGCCAGUAUUCUGGCGGGCAUGCCUGUUCGAGCGUCAUUUCAACCAUCAAGCCCCAGGCUUGUGUUGGGGACCUGCGGCUGCCGCAGGCCCUGAAAACCAGUGGCGGGCUCGCUGUCACACCGGGCGUAGUAGAUUUUAUCUCGCUCAGGGCGUGCUGCGGGUUCCGGCCGUUAAAAGCCUUUUUUACCCAAGGUUGACCUCGGAUCAGGUAGGAAUACCCGCUGAACUUAAGCAUAUCAAUAAGCGGAGGA